rnacentral:rRNA from 1 species
CCUACGGGAGACAGCAGUGAGGAAUAUUGGUCAAUGGACGCGAGUCUGAACCAGCCAAGUAGCGUGAAGGAUGACUGCCCUAUGGGUUGUAAACUUCUUUUAUACAGGAAUAAAACGAGGCACGUGUGCCUUUUUGCAUGUACUUUAUGAAUAAGGAUCGGCUAACUCCGUGCCAGCAGCCGCGGUAAUACGGAGGAUCCGAGCGUUAUCCGGAUUUAUUGGGUUUAAAGGGAGCGUAGAUGGGUUGUUAAGUCAGUUGUGAAAUUUUGCGGCUCAACCGUAAAAUUGCGAUUGAUACUGGCAGUCUUGAGUACAGUUGAGGUAGGCGGAAUUCGUGGUGUAGCGGUGAAAUGCUUAGAUAUCACGAAGAACCCCGAUUGCGAAGGCAGCUUACUAAACUGUGACUGACAUUGAUGCUCGAAAGUGUGGGUAUCAAACAGGAUUAGAUAUCCUAGUAGUC